AUACGUCCACAGUGCACAGGGGCUCGCCACCAGGCUGGGCAGACGCCACAAUAGACAUCUUGGGUUUCUUUCGUGUCUCCUCCUGAAAGAACAACAAAGGUCAGGGAUGCCAACAAAGUAGGAACAUGUGGCCAAGCGCAACUUCAGGCAAGAGGCUCCUAAGGCAGGGUGGAUAUGUGAGGGGGCAAGCUCAGCACAGUGGUACCAGGUAGCCUCUGGAAUAGGAGGGCACCACUGCUUUGCACUACACCACAUGAGAAGGAAGGAAGGUCUGAGGAGUGGACCAGAUAGGGGCUGGCUGGGUCUCCCUGGAUGCCAUCUCCGAGAACUGUGUGCUGGUGCUUCCCUGGGAAGCAGACCACACACCCAGAAGUGAAGGGCCAAGGAAGUUACAGCCACCAGGGACAAUCACGUAGGUGGUUCUCUCUCCCCAUCCCAACUUGAGGGCAGGUUCUCUCUCCCCGCCCCAACUUGAGGUAUCUCCUGGACCAGAAAGGCCAAACAUACAACAGAUUCUCAUUCCCCACCUCCCUCUCCCCGGGGUUUUAUAUAGGCCUCCAGGCAAAUACCACAGCUUCACAAGGUCCUAGCCUAGAAGACCCUCAGGCAAGUGGUUUUAGGAAGCUUCAUCGGGACUGAGCCUUACCCAGGUUCAAUGUUGUGUGAACCAUGCUCCUCCCUCACAGAAAUGACAAGGACCCAAAGAAGAGGCGGCCCAGGAUGGCAGUCUGUGUCCCACAAGACCCUGAGAAUGGGAGGCCUGGCUGGUAUAACGUCCCUGCCUUCAAACUGAGUACUGAGUGGAAAUACCCAGAAGACAGGUCCUUCACAACCACAGGCCAGGGCUGAGAGUUCUAUAAUGUAACUAAAAAGUGAAUUGAUCUGAUGCAAAUGUCAUGAAUGCUGAAACGCAAGGAAAAGCACAUCUACCCUAGAAGUGUUGAGGCUGACUUCCCUCCCACAGCUGCCAACGUGGCUGUGCUAGGUGCCCCUCCCCUCCCUUGAAGGCAAGAGGAUGAGGGUGCGGAGGGGCCUUUGGUGCUGGCCGGGCCUGCACACUCACCCUCUCCUCAGCCAGCCUCUUCAUCUCCUCCUGUAGUUUGCUCAGGAUGUGCAGGUUUGGCUUGUUCUUCUUGGCAUACUGCUGCAGCUCAAUCACACUUUUGUCCGAGGUCUCCUGGGGAGCACAGCACCUUGCUCUCAGGACUGCCUGGGGCAGGCCCCACAGACAUAUUACGGCCAGCAGCCAGAGCUGCACUCCCAACCCACACCUGGCAGCUGACACAGCCACAGAGAACGCAGACCAGUCCCAGUCCACAGCUGCCCAGCUCACUUUCUGACCAUACUACCCCCACUUCUGCCUCACCCUGAGCAGGCAGAAGCCACAGCCUCUUCCCUUCAUGGGGCAAAGGCAUCCUGGCACCCAGCUGCCUCCACUCCUACCAUCGGCUGGGCACUCGUACUGCCCAGACCCUCAGAGUGGAACGAUCAGAGUACGGCCUCCACCAGCAGGGACAGCAUGCUGCCCGAUGGGAUAAACCCUGGCACUGGGGCCCAGCUGGGAGCCCAUCAGCCCUAGACACUGCGCUCUCUGCAUAUCUGCAAACCCUCCAACUUUGAGAACAGGAUCAAGCUGUCCUGAGGCCCUUCCUGUCUGAAAAGGCCAUCUCUGAGGCCGCCUGCCGUGCCUUCGAGUGUCAGACUCCACCUGUCCUCCAAAAGAUACAGGCUGAGGCUGUGCCUAGACUGGACGCUCAUCCUCCAACUUAGGGAGAGUUCCCACUCACAGGCCAAAGCAGGCUUUUCUCAAUCUUAGCCCAAACAAGAUACAGCACAAAAGUAAAGGCACAUGAAGGCAGAAAUCAGCCUCAUCUGCAGUCAUUGGAGUUUUCUCAGCAACACAUAUCUGGAGGUUCCUCUCUAAGCACCCUGGGGGCCCAGUGUCACCUCCUUAGAUGCCACAUGGCCACCCCUCCCCUCACUGGGAUGCAGGUAACCCAGACUAUUUCUGGAAACAUCAGGGUAAAAAUAAACGUAAACACCUCCCAGGACUUCCCUCCACCCCACAAAACAUACAAACCUAAGGGUACUGGUUUAAAUCUCUUGAUCUCGGCAAAACAUCAGAAACUAAACACAUGACGUGCACAGGUGUUUAGUUAAAAAAAACUGGUGUUCAUAAGCAGGAAGAGGUGGCCUGCAUCUCUUACUCUCCCUUAAGCUUCUAGGGGUCCUCAAAUUAAUCCAAGGGCUUGCAGUUCCGGUGUGGGGGAAGGGGAGACACCAGGUCUCAGCUCAGAAGCUUCCUCUCCACUGGGGCUGGCAGCACUCACCACCUGUACCUCCUGCUGGGCAGGCUCACCCCACAUAGCCAGAGCCAGGCCUAGGCUUCUCAGGGAGGGAGACACAGCAUGAAUGACCACCUCCCACCCCCAAGGUCACAGACAUGGCCCAGCAGAGCGCCUGAGAAGCAGCCUUGAACAAGAGCAGAGCUGCCCAACACUAUCUCCGGUGACAGCAGGACCUCAAACAGGUGUGCCACGGUGGAGGGAGGAUGAUAAGCACAGAGGCUGCCCUAGGUCCUGGGGAGGAGCCUGGUUACCUGCUUGACCAUCUUGCUGCUUUCGCGACCAUACAUGCGCAAUAAAGACCCCCAAUUCUUGACAUGUGGAUGCAGCAGCUGAAGGAUUUUCUGAGAGGCUAACUGUUUUCCAACUCUCUUAUUCUUACCUGUGAGGAAGGAAGAGGAAAUGUAGAGAGGGAGUCACUAGAACAUUCAGCUGUCAACAUGGCCACCUUGCCUAGAGAGGAGACACACCUGCCAUUCCCCCACCCAGCAAACGGCAUGUUCUACAGGAGGGGGUACAGACGUCUUCCACCACUGCAGUGGGCACUGGAGUCUUACAAAGCUGAGACCAGGACCCACCCUAACCCCAUUUAGCAGAACAGCUCCCUCAAAGGCUUCAGAAAAUCAGAAUGGGCCCAAGGUCAUAACUUACAAGGCCUCCCUCCCACCACACCCUACACUUCCAGAGAUACAGACAAGCAAAACAAGUACCAUGAAGCACAUAGCCCAAGGCUCCUUGGGGACAGGCACAGGGGAGGGACGCUCUGCCAGAAAGCCCAGAGGAGUUUCCAGAGGGUGUAUGAACUUUGAAAGAGGAGUUUCUAUGUAUGCAGAGGGAAGGUGGGGCCAGGGAGCAGAGUGGGUCUGAGUGCCAGGAGAUGCCUAUGGCCAGACAGACCAAGGUGGCCACACUUCCCAGAUAGGGAGGUCAAUGGUGCCAGCACUCCUUCUAUGCCACACCUGCCUGCUCCAGAAGGUGUCUCAGUGAGGACUAAUAUCUGCUGAAUCACAGGGGACACCCAGGUCUGUGAGUUCUGUGAUUUUCCCAAGGCCAACUUGUGUGUUACUUUCUAAUUUACAUAGCACUGGUUUUGUGUUUAUAGUAGUCAUACAAAGUUUUCUUUUAAAAUAAAGUUGUUUUCAGAAGUGGUUACUUUAGGGGUGCCUGGAUGGCUCAGUCAAUUAAGCAUCUGACUCUUGAUUUCAGUUCAGGUCACGACCUCAGUGUGUGAGUUUGAGCCCCACGUCAGAUUCUGCACUGACAGUGCAAAGCCUGCUUGGGAUUCUCUGUCUCCCUCUUUCUCUGCCCUUCCCCCCACUCAUACAUGGCACACUCUCUCAAAAAUAAACAUUAAAAGAUAAGAUAAGAUAAAAUAAAAUGUAGUUAUUUCAAAAACCAAAUUCAGUGGGGCGCCUGGGUGGCUCAGUCAGUUAAGCAUCCACUGGCUCAGGUCACGAUCUCAUGGUUUGUGAGUUCGAGUCCUGGAUCAGGCUCUAUGUUGACAGCUAGCUCAGAGCCUGGAGCCUGUCUUCAGAUUCUGUGUCUCCCUCUGUCUCUCUGUCCCUCCCCUGCUCACACACUCUCUCUCUCUCUCAAAAAUAAACAUAAAAAAAAUUUUUUUAAAUAAAGAAGUUAAAAAUAAAUAACCAACCAAAUUUGGUAAAUACUGCAGGUGGUGUACACAAAGACCAGAAAUGGGGCAGGCAUAUCACCCAGCACAGGGACACAGAGUAGGGCAGGGCAAGGGCUCUGCUGCCAUUCUAGGACAUCCCUCCUCCUGCCACAGGGACCAUGGGCUGGAUGGGGCACUAGUGGCAGGGAGGGGGAAAACAUGGCCUAGCCAAAGUGACCAGCCCAAGCCCAGGAACUAGGAGGAUAGGGUUGGUACAGGCAGGACUACCACAGUCCCACCUCAGAGUGACAGGCUUUCAGACAGAGGUCGAUAGAUGCCAGUGGACACGGAGGACUGCGGGUGGUCAGCACACAAGGCAGGAGCUUGGGAGUGAUGCCAGGGUAGUGGCCUGAGACUAAGCCCCAGAGGCUCAGGGCUCCCAGACAGGCCACAUGGCAGUGUGCAACCUCCCCAGUGGUCAAGGGAAAUUGCAGUGGGGUGACAGGGAGGAGGGAGGCAGUCCUUACACCAGCCGCGCACUGUGUGUUUGCCGCACGCCAUGACAUAUUCACUCUUCUGGUUUUUACCAGGAACCACUUCAAACUUGAUGGAUGUAUCACCCAUUCCAUGGUUUCUUAAAGGAAAAACAUAGACAACCAGUGCCAUCAGCUGAGGACGAAGAAAUGACAGCUUCAGGAUAGGCUUUAAAGGCUCAAUGAAGACAAUGCCAACCCUUUCCCCAAACCGCACAUCUCAGCUGAAAAGGAGGGGAUUCUCCUGAUCCGAUCUCACAGGCUCUGACUGACCAGCAGGCACAGGGGCUCCUGUGCACACAGGGAAUACUUGCAAUGGCUUGGCCUUUAGCAUCACCUCUUGAACCAGGAUAAACAGCUAGUAAAGACAUUGGGCACCAAAAGAAAAGCCCCCACACAACCCUACUCAGAAGGGGAAGCACCCGCCCUACCUUUUAAGGCACUCGUGAAGGAUCUGAUAGGGAGACAACAGUCCGGCCUUGCUGGUCAGCUCGUAGACCCGUGAGUCCUCGAUACUGAUGUGGUUAAAAUACUACAAAACAAAGCAGCCACUCCUAAGUGCUGGACCGAGCCUGCUGGCCUCACGGAGCUGUUCCCCAUGCUGUCUGCUUCCCCCAGAAGCUUCCUGUCAUCUUUACUGCCUUGAAGAGCACAUUGCGCCCCCACCUCAUUGUCCAGCGGCCCCUCUGAGACAGGACAAGCAGUGCUGUGCUAGGUUGGAGAGUAUGCUGCAACGGGGUGGCAAAGCCUGGUGCUGCCUGGGAGCCUUUUCUGAAUCUGAGUCUGAUCAAUUAGAAAUCUAAAGACAGACAACCUUAGAAAAAAAUUUUGAAGAUCAUCAUAAAUGAGAUUAUAGAAGACAAAAGGUAAAUCAGACAAAAGAGAUGCACUCUAAAAAGGCCAAGCUCUCUGAAGGCUGUGAAGGGCCUGGCCUGGCUCCUGUUUCAAACACAGAGUCAUCCUGUCCUAGCUCUGAGACCAACUGCUAUGCCCAGAGAACAGAACAACUAAAGAGUUAAUGGGAAACCACUUAACCAGUUGAGGGGAAAAAAGAGAAGUUCUGCACAACAGUGGCAGGCAGCAGCCAGGAGGCAGCGUUGACCCCAACCAGACUUGGGCCUCUGCUGAGCCGCCCUCUGUGAACGGAGGAUGUGGCCUAGUUCACUCAGCACAGCCCACCUCCCUGGUGGGGACUGCUGGGCUUCUGGGGUUGCCAUAGCAAGGUACCACCAAGUGGGUGGCUUAUUUAUUUUUUCACAAUUCUGGAGGCCAGAAGUCCCAAAGCAAGGUGUCAGCAGGCCAUAUUCCCUUUGAAACCUCUAUGAGAGAUUCUUUCUGGACCUUCCCAGGUUUUGGCAGCACCAAGCUUUCUUUAGCAUCACUCCCAACUCCACCCAGCCCUCUCUCCACUUCCCACCCUCUUCUUACAAGAACAUAACACUUAUAAGAACACUACUCUGGGCAGGGAGGCAGGGGUUCCUCUCUCAGCGGACUGUGACUGAGUCAAGGAAAGCAAGGUGCCAUUUCUAAAGGGAAUUGCUGAUUCUGGUGAGCUAGAAAUCUCCCUACUCUCAUUUGGCUACAGUUUCCAACAGGUCCCCACAAGAUACCUCCACUUACGAGCAUCUGCAUCAGCAUGGAUCAGUUUCCAGGGAAAGUUAUUCACCAAGACAUCAGGCCCUAGACCUUAGUGGCUAGCCAGGCAGCCGACCCAUCCAUGGUGGCUGGCUCUCUCAUUUCAGCCUUUUGAUAACCCAGUCUCUAACCAGCAGUCGGCACCUGGGCUGUGGACCUGUGGUCAGACUGAGCAAGACCACCUGUGUACCCACGAUCCUCCCUGACAGAGCCGAGGCAGACAUACACAUGGCAGAAGAACACACACUAAGAAGCCCAAAGAUAUCCAACAGACGCUGGCAAAGGCCCAUACCACAAUUACCUGCACCAAGAGCCACAGUCACAUGUUGCAGGUUAACCUGCAAGGAGCAUAUAGAGACUAUAGUACAAAGGGCAGAAGUGGCCCAAUGACAACAGUACAGAAGAAGUUUGGAUCACUGGUGCCCAACAGAUACUGAAAGACCCUGAGAGAGCACCACAGACAGACCAGCACCCAUAAACCCAACAAUUUAAAUAAAAUGGACCAAUUCCUUGAAAGGUGCAAAUUACCCAAACUGCUCUAUUCAAGAAGUUGAACUUGUAGUUAAAAGGUCCCUUCAAAGAAAACUCCACACUCAGAUCGUUUCAUUGGCAACAACUACCAAAUAUUUAAGAAAAAAAAAAUGAUACCAAUUCUAGACAAUCUUUCAAAACACCACAAGAGGAGGGACAAUUGCCAAUUCAUUUUAUGAUGUUAGCAGUACCCUUAUUAACACCAAAGAGAACUACAAACUAAUAAUCCUCAUAAACACAGGUGUAAAAAUCCUACAUAGAGUAUUAGCAAUUUGUAACCAUUAACACAUAAAAACAAAUCUAUGCCAUGCCCAAGAAAGGACUUAGCCCAGGAAUGCGUUAAAAAAAAAAAAAAAAAAAAAAAAUCAAUCAACAUAAUACAUUAUAUCAACAAAUUAAGGAGGAAAAAGUCUGUAAUAUCAAUUGGUAAGGAAUAGAAGAAUCCUUCCUCAACCUGAUAGAGGGCAUCAACAAACAACUAACACCUAACAUCAUAUUCAAUGGUCAGAGACUGUAUGCUUCACCCCAAGAUCAGGAACAAGACAAGGAUGUCCACUCUCCCCACUGCUACUCAACAUGUAAUGGAGCUUCUAGUCAGAGUAGUAAGGCAAGAAAAAGAAACAAAAGGCAUCUAGAUUGGAAAGGAAGAAAUCAAACCAUCACAGUCAACCUGGUCUGUACACAGAAAUCCCAAAGAAAUCUACAGAAAAACUACUGGAACUAAUAAAGCAGUUCAGCAAAGCCACAAGACAUACGAUCAAUAUACGACAGUAAAUGAGAUUGCUAUACACUAGCAAUCAACAGAACUGAAACUGAAGUGCUACUCACAACAGCUCCAAAACACAUGUGAAAUACUCAAGUCCAAAUCUAGUAAAACAUGUGAAAGAUCUGCAUACUAAAAAUGACCAAACACUAAUAAAAGACAUCAAAGACUUCAAUAAAUGGAGAGAUACACUGGGUUUGUGAACUGAAAGACUCAAUACUGUUAGGAAGUCCAUUCUCUCCAAAUUUAUCUACAGAUGUAACACAAUUCCAAUCAAAAUCUCAACAGAACUUUUUGUACUAACAUACUGUUUCUAUACGGAAGGGAAAAGUAGCUGGAGUAACCAAAAAGUGCUUUUGAAAAAGAACAAAGUUUGAGGGUUCGCACGGAUUCCAAGAAUUCAUGUCAUCAAGAAGGUAUGGCAUUGGUGAAAGGUCACACAGAUCAAGGAGACAGAGUACAGAGAUAGACCCCCACACACAUGCUCAUCUGGCUCGACAGACAUGCAAAGGCACCCAGUUGGACAUAUACUUAUCAUACAGCCCAGCAAGGCCAUCUUGGGUGCUUAGCUACACUCACGUGGAAAACCGGAGAGCCUCACAGCAGCCAAAUGCUAAUCACCCAAAAAUGGAAAUGCACUCAACACCCCUCAAGUGAGAAGAACAUACUAGGCACUGCCCUGCAAUAGGCACACUCAGCAGCAAAAAUUACCCAACCAUCGACACCAGCACCAACACAGAUGAUUCUCAAGUGCAUCACUGAGUUGGAGCUUGGUUCUAAGGCUACCUCCCCUGUGACUCCACUGAUAAGACAUUUGGGAAUUGGCUAACCUACAGAGAUAGCUCAGUGACUACCAGGGUAAAAAGAAAGUUUUGACUACAAAGGGGCACAAGGGGCAGUUUAAGAAAACUGGGAGGGGGAGAACAUUUGAAAAUGUCUUGAUUGUGCUGUUGGUUAUAUGACAAAACUACACGUUUCAAAAUUCACAGAAGUGUACCAAAAAGUGCAUUUACCACUCUAUAAUUUUUUUAAAUUUUUUGAGAAAGUGAGCAACUGUGAACACACACGAGCAGGGGAGGGACACAGGGAGAGGGAGAGAGAGAAUCCCAAGUAGGCUCCACACUAUCAGUAUUGAGCCUGAUGGAGGGCUCAAUCUCAUGACCUGAGCCAAAAUUAAGAGUCGGACACUUAACCAAUCGAGCCACCUAAGUGCCCUGAACUCUCUAUUAAAACCUAAAUUGGUCGGGGGCGGGGGAAGGGAACCAAAAAAAACCAAGUCACUAAUGCCUAAAUUCUAGAACAAGCAUGAACCAACCACAACCCACAGCUACCUAAAAAGCUAUAAAAUACUAAGAAGAAAUCACCCCAGGUCUUGUGAAAAGGUUCAGUACCAGUUCUGCUCAUCUGUUAAUCAACACCAAACAUGCUAUGCCCUGAGCCUCUGCUUCCAUGGCAAUUCUAGAAUUCUGGAUAUUCUAUAUCCACACCACCAUUGCAUGUGGACUUUGUGCCACUGUACCUCAAGGACAGCAGUGCAUAGCGAGAGCUCCCAAAGAACCAGGGCCUGCCCAGCCAACCUUGGCAUCCUGCCCCCACAGCUGGAACUCUGGAGCCACACCUCCUCCACAAGGGCACCACCACCCACCCACCAAGCUACUGACAAGGAUGUGACAGAAACACUGUCACAAUUUUUCAGGAGCAAGACAGCAAUUCCUAUCAGUCAUGAUUGUGCUGCUCUAGUACCUUCAACCUGACAGAAAAGCUACUUUCUUCUCUGAAAAAUUUUAAAAUGGGAAAUAAGUACACACAUAUACAAUUAAAUUCUAAGUGUGAAGAAAAACCUCUCCAGAGGAUGAGGACAUUUUUGGUCAUCAGACACAUAUCUGGUCCUUGUAUCCAGUUCAGGGAGCGCCUAAAACUUUAGAAUUUCCUAAUAGGAGUAUCUUUUGUUAUUCAAAGGAAUCCCUCUGGACCUCAUCUGAGUUUAUGCUAAUUAGGCAUGGUGGGGGGCAGAGCCUAGACAGCUUCAUGAGGGGGCUGGUCACCAGAAAGACCAACCAUGAUUAAGCACCUCUUCAUCUGGCUGUCCAUUUGUAUUCCUAAUAAUAAACCAGUAAACGUAAGGAGUUUCCCUGAGUUCUGAGAGCAAAUUCUAAAAAAGUUCUCAUUCAAGCAAAUUAAUGAACCCAAGGGAAGUCACGGAAACCCCUGAAUCUGUAGUUGGCUGGUCAAUGUGGGUGGCCUGCGCACCCCAUUUGUGGCUGGAAUGUGAAGUGUGGGCAGUCUUUUGGAACUGAGCCAACUCCAUGUAAAUAGUGUAAGAACUGAGCAAAGUUGCAGACACCUAGCUGGUGUCAGAGAAUUGGAGAACCAACAUGAAAAAGUCCCUUGUGUGUACAAGGGAACUUUUAUACCUGGGAUUUCCGAGCUGCCCACAUAGCCUCCUCUACCUGGGAAGACCUCCUCUCUCAAGCUUGCCUUUUCUUUUUUUUUUUUAAUUUUUUAAUGUUUAUUUAUUUUUUAGAGAGAGAGACAGAGUGUGAGUGGGGUAGGAGCAGAGAUAGAGAGGGAGACCUAGAAUCCGAAACAGGCUCCAGGCUCCGAUCUGUCAGUACAGAGCCUGCUGUGGGGCCAGAACUCGGGACCAGCGAGAUCAUGACCUAGGCUGAAGUUGGACACCCAACCAACUGAGCCACCCAGGCACCCCUCUCAGGCUACUUUCUGAUGUUAUUUCUGGAAAGAUCCCUCACUUUCCAGAAGAGCCCCAGAGUACAUGGCCAGAUCCUGAAUCUUCCUACUAUCCAGCACAACCUGAGGCACAAAUUCCAGAAACCUGCAGUCUCUGUCACAGCAGAUGCCUCACUAGAGGUGCUGAUGUAAAAGGCUCCAGGGACAAGGGUGCAGCCACAAUGACCUUACAGACUGUACAGGGCAGGAGGAAAGGUGGAAAAUGAAAGAACUGAGCACAAAGACUGCCAGCUGGUCAUCAUCAAAACCAUGCACUCUAGAGAAGAGGUAACCACCAGUCUCUGACCACCAAGCAUGAGGUAGAGACAGGGUUGACAUCACAGUCUGGGGCAAGCUUGUAGCCCUCCAAGAGUGUAUACCACCAGACAGCCACAUAUGAGGCCACAUGCAGGUGGUGGGACUGCAAAAAGCAGCUGGGACAGAGCAGGUAACUGGAGCGACAGACCACUCUUCAACACACAAGGCUGGGAGAGCCAUGGAACACCCCUGGGUCCCUAAGCUGGCCAGAAUGAAACUGGGAGGUCCCUGCUUAGGGAACUACAAUGGUGCCAAAUACAAAAGUGAACUAAAGCCAACAGUAAGCACAGAGACUUUCAGAUUAAAAACUGGACUGAAAUGCUAAUUCAUUCAGUUAAUAACCAACCAAGCCAGAUGCUGGUAUCUUAGAGGCCACAACACUAAAUGGAGACCAUCUUGGAUCUUAUCUUGAAACCAGGUGUUCCUAACACUUGCUGUACUAACCCUGGAGAAUUUUCCAUUAUCUCAACAUGUCAAAAAUUUCUUAAAUCAACUAUAAUUUACUGAGUUACUUUAAACUUUACCACAAUAGCCAUAGGCAGUGGGGCAUGGGUGCUGCAUGCUUAGACAGGUAAGACACACAUCCCCACUGCAUUGGGCAACAGCAGAGGCUACUGAGAUGAGCUGCUAUGACAAAGCAAAGCUCCAUCUUCCAAAAAGGCUGCUGGAGCCGCACAUCCCCUGCUUGCCUAGGCCAAGCUGACUCCCAGCACCAGAACCAUAGCUACCCCUUCCAGUUUCUGCUACCCCGUAUCAGAGAAUGGUGGUGUGCAACCUAUAUAGCCCAUGCAUCAUCAACUGCAACAACCAAUCCUAAGGGCCUUGGCAGGCUAUGGGUAGAGGUGUAGGUAACAAGUUCUCCAACAUGCCUUGGAAGCCUCCCUGAACAACCACUGUUCCAUAGUUAGGUUAUUGAGAAAUAAAGUUGAAAAUGUGAUUUUUCCUGGAGGAGCUAGCCUUCUUGAGAUUUUGUUUGCUGAGUGGGCUCUGUGAUCUGUCUAUGGCCCAUCUAUGACAAUAAAGCACAAAAAAUAGACACCCGAGUGCAAUUUAAACUGCCAUGGGCACUUUACCAUAUUUUAGAAUAGUCUCAGUCUAAAAAGAUUGGAAAAAAUGUUUAGUUUUUUUAACGUCAAUUUAUUUUCGAGAGAGUGUGCACGCAUACGAGUAGGGGAGGGGCAGAGAGAAAAGACAGAGGAUCAGAAAAAGGCUCCUCGCUGAUAGGAGAGCCCAAUGUGGGGCUUGAAACCAUGAGAUCAUGACUUGAGCUGAAGUCAGACUUAACCAACUGAGUCACCCAGGUGAAUACUGUUUUAUAUUUUGUCUUUUUUGUUGUUGAAAAAAAGUUUUAAACGCAGCCUAUACCAGUUCUAGGGUGACAGAAUAAAAAAACCUCCAAAUUUUGCUCCUCCACAGGAUCAACAAGAACACUGACUAAAACUGUCAAAAUCAACUUUUUCAGAAUUCUGGAAAUUAAAGACAACAAUCUGGGGAGCAUUUAUUCAAGAAAAAAAUGGCUGAAUUUUGCUAAGAACAAUGAGCUUUGUAGCAUUUUAUUUAUAAAAUUUGGCCCAUUCCUGUCUUCUCUUCCCAGCUCUGUGGUAGCCUUGGGAACCAGCAAGGCUGGUUCACUGAAGAAGGCAAACUGGUUCCCCAACACCCCAAGCCCAGAGAACCACUGCUGUCUGGUCCGUGUGGCAGCUCUACAGAAAAGCUCAUUGUAAAACUUGCCUUUAUGCGACCCAACUCAGAGUUCAUUCGGGGAAAACAGCCCAAUUCCCCAGGAAAUCUAUCAAAAAUAAUCAGUGGCAACUGUUUCAUACUGCAGUUGCCUGAGGCUGGGAUACCAGCUGGCAAGCAAGAGGCAGGUCAGAAAACAUAAAAGGAAAAAGCUAGAGAAUGAGAUGCCCUUAAGAGGCUUUGAAAAGCUCCAACUUGUCUGGAGAUCUAGGUGGCCACUUGCAUGCCCAGGAAAGACCUAGGAAGGCCCAAAUCUCCUGAUUGACUCAGAAGCUCUGUGCAAGUGGGAAGGAAGUAAAGGCUAAGGCACAAUGUCAACUACUAGAGCAUUAAAGGUGACCCCAACACGCAUAAAGAGGCUGGGAGACUUACUGAUUUAGGUCAGGAAAUCUCUGACUUGGAUUUCACAAAAUAGUCUAGGAAAGUCACACUAUUAUGGGUUGAAUUCUGUCCACCCACAUAUUGAUAGGCUGAAAUCCUAACUUCCAGUACCUCAUUAUAUAACCUUUUUUGCAGAUAAGGUCCUUACAGACAUAAUCAAGUUAAAAUGAGGUCAUUAGGGUGGGCCCUAAUCCAAUAUGACUACUGUCCCUAUAAACAGAUUCAGAAACAAACACACAGUACAAGGAGAAGGACUGUUAUCAGUUAUCUCCAACUGUUAUCUCCAAACAGAGAGAGGCCUGAAAGAGAUCUUUCUCUCCUAGCCUUCAGAAGAAACCAACCUUGCUGACACCUUGAGUUUAGAUGUCCAGUCUCCAGAGCUGUGAGGCAAGAAAUAUGUCCUUGGGAUGUCUGGGUGGUUCAGUCGGUUAAGGGUCUGACUUCAGUUCAGGGCAUGAUCUUGUGGUUAGUGGGUUUGAGUACUGCAUCAGGCUCUGUGCUAACAGUUCAGAGCGUGUAGCCUGCUUCAGACUCUAUGUCUCCCCCUCUCUCUCUGCCCCUCCCCUGCUUGUGCUCUCUCAAAAAUGAUAAAUAUUUUUUUAAAAAAAUUAUCCUCUAACUGGUAAUCUUGAUAUCCACAGUUGCCACAUUAUUUAAAAUGCCCAGGUUUAACGAGACAUGAACUAAAACACAAAUGUAUAUGCCGUACAAGAUGAAGAAAAGUAGUCAAUACAAACCAUCCUUAAGGAGGGGCACCUGGGUGGCUUGGUCAGUUAAGGGUCCAACUCCUGAUUUUGGCUCAGGUCAUGAUCUCACAGUUCGUGGGAUCGAGCCCCACAUCAGGCUCUGCGCUGACAGCUUGGAGCCUGCUUGGGAUUCUCUCCUUCUCUCUCUGCCCCUCCCCCACUCAAGUGCUCAUGCAUAUGCUUGCACACUCUCUCAAGAUAAACAUUAAAAAAUAAAUAAAAUACACCAGCUAUAAUAUGCUCAAAAAACUAAAACAAACAACCACAUCUAAGAAUUAAAGGAAAGCAUAAGAACAGUAUCUCACCAGACUAUCAAUUAAGACAAAGAAAAUAAGUAAAUAAAUAACAGUGCCCCAUAGACCUGUGGGAUACCAUGAGUGUACUAGGUUACCUAUAAUGGGAUUCCCAGAAAAAGAGGAUACUAAAGGGCAAAAAAAAUUAUGAGAAAAUAAAGGCUGAAACUUCUUAAAGAUGGAAAACAUUACGUAUCCAAGAAGCUCAACAAAUUCCAAAAAGAAUAAACUAAAGAAAUCUAUACCUACACAUUUCUGUCAAAGGCCAAAGACAAAAUCUGAAAACAGUACGAGAAACUCAUCAAUAACAUGAUUCUCAGUAAGAUUAACAGCCAAUUUCUCAUUCCUUAUAGAGGCCAGAAGGCAGACAGAUCACCACUAUGAAGAAAAACAAUGUCAACUAAGAAUUCUAUAUGCAGAGGUGCCUGGGUGGCUCAGUGAGUUAAGCGUCCAACUCUUGAUUUUGGCUCAGGUCAUGAUCUCACGGUUGUUAACUUUGAGCCCCGCACAGGGCUCUGCACUGAGUGUGGAGCCUGCUUGGGAUUCUUGCUCUCUCUCCCUCUCUCUUUGCCCCUCCCUGGUUCUCUCUCAAAGUAAAUAAAUAAACUGAAAAAAAAUUCUAUACCCAGCCAGCAAAACUAUGCUUCAAAAAGAGAAUCAUUAAGGGACACCUGGGUGGCUCAGUCAGUUAAGCGUCCAGCUGCAGCUCAGGUCAUGAUCUUAUGGUUCAUGGGUUUGAGCACCCACAUCAGGCUCUGUCCCGACAGCUCAGAGCCUGGCACCUGCUUCAGAUUCUGUCUCCCCCUCUCUCUCUGCCCCUCACCCACUCAUACUCUCUCUCUCUCUCAAAAAAUAACCAUUAAAAAAAAAUUUUUUUUUAAAGGGAAUUGUUAAGACAUUCUCAGAUAAACAAAAAUUGAGAGAAUCCACAGGUAAUAGAACUGCCCUCCAAGAAAUACUGAAGAGCCUUCAGGCCAAAAUAAAAGGACACUGUAGACCAUAAACAAAUUGAGGACAUUACAAAAAAUAAAGCUAACUACGGUAAAUAAAAGACAAUAUAAACAUACAUUGUUUCUAAUUCUGUUUUUCCUUUCUGAAUUAAAGGACAACUAUAUAGAGGCGUCUGGGUGGCUCAGUUGACUCAGAGUCCAAUUUUGACUUAGGCCAUGAUCUCACAACUUGUCAGUUCAAGCCCAACAUCAGGUUCUGCCUGAAGCCUGCUUUGGAUUCUGUGUCUCCCUCUCUCUCCCCCUCCCCCGUUAGCAGUCUGUCUCUGUCUAUCAAAAAUAAACCAACAUUGGGGCGCCUGGGUGGCUCAGUCGGUUAAGGGUCCGACUUCAGCUCAGGUCACGAUCUCGCGGUCCGUGAGUUUGAGCCCCGCGUUGGGCUCUGGGCUGAUGGCUCAGAGCCUGGAGCCUGCUUCCAAUUCUGUGUCUCCCUCUCUCUCUGCCCCUCCCCCAUUCAUGCUCUGUCUCUGUCUCAAAAAUAAACAUUAAAAAAAAAAGAGAAAAAAAAGAGAAAAGAAAAAAAUAAACCAACAUUAAAAAAAAUAGAUUUAGGGGCGCCUGGGUGGCUCCAUCGGUUAAGCAUCCAACUUCAGCUCACGGCAUGAUCUCACGGUUCGUGGGUUCGAGCCCUGUGUCAGGUUCUGUGCUGGCAGCUCAGAGCCCGGAGCCUACUUCGGAUUCUGUGUCUCCCUCUCUCUCUGACCCUCCCUUACUCAUGGUCUGUCUCUCUCAAAAAUAAACAUUAAAAAAAAAAAAAAAAGAUUUAAAGACAACUACGUAAAACAAUAAUUAUAAAUCCAUGUUUGUGGACACACAACAUACAGAGAGGUAAUUUGUGACAACAUAACCAUAAAGGUGAUGGUAAAUA